GGGGGUAUAGCUCAGUGGUUAGAGCACCCGCAUACGUAUGGGAAGGUCGGGGGUUCGACUCCCUCUGCCUCCA
rnacentral:tRNA from 1 species